rnacentral:rRNA from 1 species
CCUACGGGUGGCUGCAGUGGGGAAUAUUGGACAAUGGGCGAAAGCCUGAUCCAGCCAUGCCGCGUGUGUGAAGAAGGCCUUCGGGUUGUAAAGCACUUUCAGUGGGGAAGAAAGCCUUGGGGCUAAUACCCUCGAGGAAGGACAUCACCCACAGAAGAAGCACCGGCUAACUCCGUGCCAGCAGCCGCGGUAAUACGGAGGGUGCGAGCGUUAAUCGGAAUUACUGGGCGUAAAGCGCGCGUAGGCGGUCUGAUAAGCCGGUUGUGAAAGCCCCGGCUCAACCUGGGAACGGCAUCCGGAACUGUCAGGCUAGAGUGCAGGAGAGGAAGGUAGAAUUCCCGGUGUAGCGGUGAAAUGCGUAGAGAUCGGGAGGAAUACCAGUGGCGAAGGCGGCCUUCUGGACUGACACUGACGCUGAGGUGCGAAAGCGUGGGUAGCAAACAGGAUUAGAUACCCUAGUAGUC